GAGGGGAAACGACAUCGAAAGCUUGCUUUUGAUGGGCGUCGACCGGCGCACGGGUGAGUAACGCGUAUCCAACCUGCCCACCACUUGGGGAUAACCUUGCGAAAGUAAGACUAAUACCCAAUGAUAUCUCUAGAAGACAUCUGAAAGAGAUUAAAGAUUUAUCGGUGAUGGAUGGGGAUGCGUCUGAUUAGCUUGUUGGCGGGGUAACGGCCCACCAAGGCGACGAUCAGUAGGGGUUCUGAGAGGAAGGUCCCCCACAUUGGAACUGAGACACGGUCCAAACUCCUACGGGAGGCAGCAGUGAGGAAUAUUGGUCAAUGGACGAGAGUCUGAACCAGCCAAGUAGCGUGCAGGAUGACGGCCCUAUGGGUUGUAAACUGCUUUUAUAAGGGAAUAAAGUGAGUCUCGUGAGACUUUUUGCAUGUACCUUAUGAAUAAGGACCGGCUAAUUCCGUGCCAGCAGCCGCGGUAAUACGGAAGGUCCGGGCGUUAUCCGGAUUUAUUGGGUUUAAAGGGAGCGUAGGCCGGAGAUUAAGCGUGUUGUGAAAUGUAGACGCUCAACGUCUGCACUGCAGCGCGAACUGGUUUCCUUGAGUACGCACAAAGUGGGCGGAAUUCGUGGUGUAGCGGUGAAAUGCUUAGAUAUCACGAAGAACUCCGAUUGCGAAGGCAGCUCACUGGAGCGCAACUGACGCUGAAGCUCGAAAGUGCGGGUAUCGAACAGGAUUAGAUACCCUGGUAGUCCGCACGGUAAACGAUGGAUGCCCGCUGUU
rnacentral:rRNA from 1 species